CAGAGACGCACCAUGAGAGCGCCCAUCACCGCGGUCAGAGGGCCUCGCGGAGCAGGACAUGCGCCGGCUGACCUCCAGCACGUUGAUAGAAAAGGAAGACGAUCUUCCCACCACACAAAUCGUCUUAGGAGUCUGCAAAUCGCCAGGACUCUUGUCUCCUGCUAGCCUGGCUUUACAGCCGAGGACCAUGAUGGCAGAGCGGCGGCCUCCCAGUACGCGUCAACCGGGGACCUUGCGCCCGGCUCCCGCCGAGGCCGCGGCGCUUCCUGCCGUCCCUUUCUCUCCGCGCGGCCCCAGAGGCUCAUCCGGGAGCAGGAAGUGCCUGCGUGCGUGUGCGUUUCUGCAAUUAGUCUUCUAAAGAAAAAACAAAACAGAGCAAGAAAGCUGGGUGUUUAGGGUUGUUCUAAAAACUCUUAAAAGACCAGCCGUUCAAUGAGGCCAUGUAAGAAGGGUGGAGGCUGGGGAUCCAGAUUCCCGGGCUUGGAGAUUUGUGGAAAUUCAUCUCGGGCUAGUUUAUGUUUAUUCUGCGCUUCAAAAAUGACUUUGAAGGUUUGUUUGGAAAUUCCAGCUCAGGGGAGGAGGCCCUUGGAAACUGUCACCUGUACAACCUAUCUUUUGGAGAGAGAAAACCGCCCUGGGAGAGCCUGGAGGAGCAGGCGGAGGGCACAGACAGGGCCGCCCACAAAUCGCGUGCCCUGGAGAUCACUGGGGUGCCGGCAGCGCCGCCCGCGCCACGCUUCUCCGUGCUGCCUGUGGGGAAAUGGUGUGCUCUCUUAAAGUUUUCCUUCAGGAACCGUCUGUACCUGGAAGUGCUGAGGCCUGCAAGCAGUGCGUUCAACUUCACAGUGUACCUAGAGACAGGGCCUUUGUGUGGUUUUGGAAUUGCUCUCCAUGCAUUCCCCAAGUCGUGAGCCUCCAGGUCCACUCCACCAGUUGACCUACUUUUUCAGCUGAAAGACAAUGGCCUGGCUUCCUAAAGUCCUAUGUCUAUAGAUUCCAGCCAGGUGGGACCCAAGGUGCCUAUUGAGUUAAUUUCAAAGGUGUAAUGUGUAAUGGAAGAAGGACGGGACGUGGAAUAUGGAGUUUGGAGUCAGAAGACAGGUUCAAGGCAAACUAAUCUAUGGUGUAGAAGUCAGACAGUGGUUAGGAGUUUACUGGAAAAGGGCACGAGGGGACUUUCUGGGUGAUGGAAAUGUUCCAUAUCCUUUCCUGGUGGUAGUUACACAAGUGUAUACAUUUGUCAAAUUCAUCAAACGACACUGAAGAUCUGUGUGUUUUUUACUGAAUGUAAAUUAUACAGCAGUUUUAAAAAGGGCAGGUUCAAGUCCUGGCCCUCUCUGCUACAUACUGUACAGACCACUUCUUCAUCCCUUGGCCUUGUUUUCCCACCUACAAAAUGGAAGGACCACUUGUACCUGUGCUGUGGGGGAUCGCGUACAUUAAUGAGACCGCGUGAGUCAGAAUGCUCUGCAAAUGAUAAGCAGCCCAUCCAUGGUGACUCCCAUUGUUAUGCUUUCCAGCCAGCUGCCCUCGAGAGCAGAUUACCGAGCUGGUACAAAUCUGUGGGCUCUGCUUUGCAACUUCCUUGGAGAUUAGUGUUUAUCUGUCUAUUUUAAGGAGACUCUGGAGAUAUCAAAAUGCUGCAGAAAAGCAAAUGGAAUAUGGAUUUGCCAGGGAGAGGAGAGCAGGCUGGAAAGGAACAGCUGGGGAGAGAGCCAUCAAUCCAGCACGGCAGCAGGGCCAGACGGACGCCGAGAGGGAGCCGCUAAAUGCCUGUGAGAGUCGUGACCAGUGAAAGCAGCGUGAGUUAAAAAAAAUCACAUCUUGCCAAACAAACUGGGUCACAUUGGUGAUGGAGUUAGUCACUGAGCAGAGACGGGAAAGCAUUUUCAGGGGAAAAAGCAGAAGGUGUGGAGCCGGUGGUGACUCAGCUGGAAGUGGCAAAGGCCUCUUGGGCCUCCUGGCCUGGUUUGGUAGGUAAGUGAAAGAUUCUCCACGUGGCUCCCGCUGGGCAUCUUGUGGUAUUUCGGUUUUGAACUUGAUCUUUACUCCUAAAGGCACUCACAAACAACCUUUACAUUGGAAUCAAGAGCACAGCACAAAUUUUAAAAUGGAAAAUCGUAGAGAGAAGCCAAGUUAAGCUGAGACAGGGAGAGUGGGAAGGCCAUUCUGGAGUUCGCCCUCGGAAUUCAAGUGGGAGGUGAUGUCUGUCUGAAGGCACCCCAGCUCCUGAGGGGCGGCGCCGGCCAAGUCUUUGAAUGCAGACACUUUAAAAUCAAGGCAGACAGCAAAUGCCCUUUGGCCACAAGAUCCUAUAAGAUGAAUGAACGACGCUGAAAUCAAAUUUUCAAUUCUUAGUCACUAAAAUAAAGCUAGAAUAGGGAAAGAUUCAACAGGAAGAAAUAAUCUACAAGAGAAAUCUGAUGUGUGAAAUUUUGAUUUUAUCCUCAUUAUAAAAAUUUUGGUGCUUUCUGCUAGAUAUUUCUGCCAAGAAAUGUGAUAUGUUGAAAAAGAAGAGGAAAUAUACUCUGGAGGCUGUGACUAUAAAAGGCUGUUUAAAGUGAUCGGAAUCAGUCGAGGUUCUCCCAGCAACCGUGGUUAUAAAAUUAGGAUCUUAAACUACCAAAUCUGGGUGAGAAAAAAAAACUUCAGUAAAAGCGACAUCUAAAUUUAUGUUAUAUAACUUACAUUUCCCCACAGUGUUUGUCUUUUCUCUGGGCACGUCAGACCUUUUAUGUCGUUAAUUUCCGACCCUAAGAGCCAUUCCUAUUGGAGCAAGGCAGCGAGAUGGGGUGAGGGGGCACCGUGAGAAAGCAGGGGUGUCUUUCCUGUGACCUCUGAAUUGGAAAGAGGGCGCCACGGUGAGAUGCCGACAUGUGCACGUGGGGUGUGUCAGUGUGUUGAUGCCCGUGCUCAGGAUGCUGAACAAAACCUGGGUGGGAGGAGCUUUCCCCACCCAGGCCUUUGUCUCACUGGAAAUCUGAUGCCUUAAACCUCCGCCUCAACCCUCAGUGACUCCAGUCUGUAGCUGUACUGCUCUGUUAGUCAGCCCGCACAGCAUCUGAGACUUGGCCUUUUGCAGCCUGGUGCUAGCUCCAUAGGCUUCUUCGCCCCCCUUUGUCGAGGUCUUCAGCAACAGUUGAAGCUACAACUUCUGCUCCAAGUGACUCGGGGCUGUGAAUCGUCAGAGAAUCCAUUAUUUCUCCCUGGUUUUGGAGCUGACAGACAUGGGUGUGAAGCUCAGGUCCGUCGCUUAUUGGCCAAUUAGGAAAACUCUGUGAACACUGAUUUUCUUGCCUUGAAGGAUGGCACAGAGCUGAUACGCAUGAGCUAUAAUUAGCUGCUUAACAUUUUUGCCAGUGACUUGAAUGGACCUUGAUGGUGAGAUUGCCAAGUCAGCAGGCAACCAGAAACAAACAACAGACUCAAGGUCUCAAAGACUGUGUUUUUGUCCCAAAUCAACUUUCCAAGUACAGAACUGGGGGACAUGUGAUUUAAUGGCAGCACCUGUGUGAUCCUGUGAUAUAAUAAGAAAUAUGUAUUUUGUCUUCAUCCCUCGUUCCUGGUACCAGAUCUUCUAAAACCCUUGGAAUUUCCUGAGUGACAGGGGUGACAGGAGCAUCUUUGUUAUUUAUAAUAAGCCCCUUUCAACCAUACUUGAGUUUAUGCUAAUGAAGUGACCCUUGUGGUGGUGGUGGUGGGGGGGUCCCUUGAGAGCUUCAGGAUGGGAGCUCAUCGCCUAUGUGAUUAGAGGGUUGGAACUUUCAGCCCCACCCCCGACCUCCAGGAAGGGGAGAGGGACCAGAGAUUGAGCUAAUCACCAAAGGCCAGUGAUUUAAUCAAUCAUACUUAUGUAAUGAAACCUCCCUAAAACCCCCUAAACCCUGGGGUUUGGAGAGCUCCUGGGUUGGUGAACACACUGAGGUCCUGGGAGGGUGACUGCCCAUGGAGGGCAUGGAAGCUCCCCCAUCCCCCUCCCCUAAUACCUUGUCCCAUGUAUCUCUUCCAUUUGUUCAUU
ensembl:lncRNA